UACGAAAGGUGCAAGCGUUGUUCGGAAUCACUGGGCGUAAAGCGCACGUAGGCGGGUUUGUAUGUCGAUUGUGAAAUCCCUGGGCUCAACCUAGGAACUGCAGUCGAAACUGCAAAUCUUGAAUGCCUGAGAGGAUGGGGGAAUUCCUGGUGGAGAAGUGAAAUUCGUAGAUAUCAGGAGGAACACCUGAGGCGAAGGCGCCUGUCUGGCAGUGCAUUGACGCUGAGGUGCGAAAGCGUGGGGAGCAAACAGG
rnacentral:rRNA from 1 species